UCACCAACACCAAGAAGCCCUGUGAACAUGGACACUCUUUAACACGUCGUGCUGUCCUACCCUCGGCUGUCUGGCUGGGCCCCGCAUUGUCCUCACCAGUGCAGCAGGGACCCCAGUGAGCAAUGCCCGGCCCGUGCCAGAACCCGGCACCCAGGAGGAGCCAGCGCCACGUCCGUACUUCCCAGAGACGUGGCUGUGGGACCUGGUGCCUGUGGGCGAGGGGGGCUCCAAGGACGUC